rnacentral:rRNA from 1 species
AAUGGAGAGUUUGAUCCUGGCUCAGGACGAACGCUGGCGGUGUGCUUAAUACAUGCAAGUCGAACGAUAAGGCCCUUUCGGGGGUACAUAAGUGGCGGACGGGUGAGUAACACGUAGGUAAUCUACCUUGAGGCGAGGGAUAACAUUGGGAAACCAGUGCUAAUACCUCAUAUGUGCAGAGUUGAAAUACUUUGCAUGAAAGUUCCGGCGCCUUUAGAUGAGCCUGCGGCUGAUUAGCUAGUUGGUGGGGUAAAGGCCUACCAAGGCGACGAUCAGUAGCUGGUUUGAGAGGAUGACCAGCCACAAUGGGACUGAGACACGGCCCAUACUCCUACGGGAGGCAGCAGUAGGGAAUAUUGCGCAAUGGGCGAAAGCCUGACGCAGCAACACCGCGUGAGGGAUGAAGCUUUUUGGAGUGUAAACCUCUGUCAGUGGGGAAGAAAUAUGACUGUACCCACAGAGGAAGCAUCGGCUAACUACGUGCCAGCAGCCGCGGUAAGACGUAGGAUGCAAGCGUUGUCCGGAUUUAUUGGGCGUAAAGAGUUCGUAGGUGGUUUGUCAAGUCUGGUGUUAAAGCCCGGAGCUCAACUCCGGAUCGGCACUGGAUACUGGCAGACUUGAGUACAGGAGAGGCAAGGGGAAUUCCCAGUGUAGCGGUGAAAUGCGUAGAUAUUGGGAGGAACACCAGUGGCGUAAGCGCCUUGCUGGACUGUUACUGACGCUGAGGAACGAAAGCCAGGGGAGCAAAUGGGAUUAGAUACCCCAGUAGUCCUGGCCGUAAACGAUGGAUACUAGGUGUCGUGGGUAUCGACCCCCGCGGUGCCGUAGCUAACGCGUUAAGUAUCCCGCCUGGGGAGUACGCACGCAAGUGUGAAACUCAAAGGAAUUGACGGGGGCCCGCACAAGCGGUGGAACAUGUGGUUUAAUUCGAA